UACGGAAGGCAGCAGUGGGGAAUAUUGCACAAUGGGCGCAAGCCUGAUGCAGCCAUGCCGCGUGUAUGAAGAAGGCCUUCGGGUUGUAAAGUACUUUCAGUCGUGAGGAAGGUGUUAAGGUUAAUAACCUUAGCAAUUGACGUUAGCGACAGAAGAAGCACCGGCUAACUCCGUGCCAGCAGCCGCGGUAAUACGGAGGGUGCGAGCGUUAAUCGGAAUUACUGGGCGUAAAGGGCACGCAGGCGGUUAAUUAAGUUGGAUGUGAAUCCCCGGGCUUAACCUGGGAAUGGCAUUCAAGACUGGUUAGCUAGAGUCUUGUAGAGGGGGUAGAAUUCCAUGUGUAGCGGUGAAAUGCGUAGAGAUGUGGAGGAAUACCGGGUGGCGAAGGCGGCCCCUGGGACAAAGACUGACGCUCAUGUGCGAAAGCGUGGGGAGCAAACGAGGAUUAGAUACC
rnacentral:rRNA from 1 species